rnacentral:rRNA from 1 species
GUCUAUAGCCACCGGCCACCCUGAACAAGCCUCAUGUCUGAUCUCCGAAGCUAAGCAGGGUCGAGCCUGGUUAGUACUUGGAUAGGAAACCACCUAGGAAGACUAGGUGCUGUAGGCA